UCAGUUUCUAGCUAACAUACACUUUACUGCUGUACGAAAUGUGUUUUUUUUUUAAUGAAACAAAAUAUAUUUCUAAUAAAGUAUUUAAAGAUGUGCAAUAUUUGGCAAAUAUGUGUACGCAUUUUGUUUUGCCCUUUGCUACGAUCAUCAUACAUGGGCUUGUUCAAUACUGUGUUCUGGAUUCAGUCACAAUGGCACACUAAUAACGAUAUAGCACCGCGAACACCGCACUACAGUAUUCAUAUAAAAUAUCGGUUCGCUAGCGGAGAAGAGGGAGCAGUUCAAAUAGCCUCUUACAACUAGCCAGUUACGUGGAAAUAUUCGUCAGUAACUUCUUACAAGGAGAACUUCAGCGAAGUACAAGAACAGCGACUGCAGGUAUGGCGGUUUUAAGUGUGGGCGAGGCUCCAGGGAUUAGACUGCGAGUAGACGUUCGUGUGUGCCUGCUUGUGUGCGCCGCAGCCAUCUGGUCUACUACGAUCGCAACCGAAACAGAACAACCAAUACAUAAUACCGGAUUGCGAACACUCUGGGACAAGGUCGUCCUGCCAAGAUUAGAGCUAUAUAUUAAGACGCGACUGACUCAACCCUAUAGUGGAACGAAUGUGAUUGGAAGUCCGUUUCAAAUAUUUGACAAACACAGUAUCAAUCCAAGCCGACAAAAACGGAAAAAUUUUAUGGGCAUGGACACAAUGGAUCUUGUAUUCGGCUCCCUUGAUAAGCCUCGCCUACCGAUGUCCGUCAGUCAGUUGCAAGUUGGAGAUAUGCAGAGCAUGCUUAGAAGCAUAGGACGUAAACGAUAAAACAACGUCUAGAGCUUCGCAACGAUCUGCAUGGCUGAUGAAUUUACUUAAGCAUAAACAGACGGAAUGCGAACCGUUUAAAACUGAUAAAUAUGUUCAUAAACAAAUCGUGAUUACAUUUAUAUUAAAUGUUAUGUUUGAUAACGCGAAAUUAAAGACAUAUUUACUAAAUGUAUUUUACCAGUUUACAUAUCUGUUUCUGUUUCUAACGAAGACGUUGAAUCAUGUUGUUUCACUUCGAAUGUAAUACAAACUUCUGACAUCAUUUGUUUGACUCUAUAUUUACAAUAUGUGUAAGUAACAGCGACUGAGAUUAUUUCUUAUUCACUUAUUUCAACAGUGUUUCUAUUAUCUAUUAGAAAAGACAAAAUACUUCCGAUAUAACGCUGGAUUUGGCUUAUCUUAGUGUGGACGUAAGCAGUUGCUGAUGAAGUCUGUAUAUAACAGUAAACUCACCUGUACUAAAGUAGUAGUUCAUAAAAUUGUGCAUUGUCGAAAUAAAACAAGAACUUUGAA